rnacentral:rRNA from 1 species
AGAGUUUGAUCCUGGCUCAGGAUGAACGCUGGCGGUAUGCUUAACACAUGCAAGUCGAACGGGGUCAGAAAUGAUUCAGUGGCGGACGGGUGAGUAACGCGUGAGAAUCUGGCUUCAGGUUCGGGACAACCACUGGAAACGGUGGCUAAUACCGGAUAUGCCGAGAGGUGAAAGAUAUAUUGCCUGAAGAUGAGCUCGCGCCUGAUUAGCUAGUUGGUAGGGUAAUGGCCUGCCAAGGCGGCGAUCGGUAACUGGUCUGAGAGGAUGACCAGUCACACUGGGACUGAGACACGGCCCAGACUCCUACGGGAGGCAGCAGUGGGGAAUUUUCCGCAAUGGGCGAAAGCCUGACGGAGCAAUACCGCGUGGGGGAUGAAGGCUCUUGGGUUGUAAACCCCUUUUCUCAGGGAAGAAAAAAAUGACGGUACCUGAGGAAUAAGCAUCGGCUAACUCCGUGCCAGCAGCCGCGGUAAUACGGAGGAUGCAAGCGUUAUCCGGAAUGAUUGGGCGUAAAGCGUCUGUA